AUUGAACGCUGGCGGCAUGCUUUACACAUGCAAGUCGAACGGUAACAGGCCGCCAGGUGCUGACGAGUGGCGAACGGGUGGGUAAUUCAUCGGAACGUGCCCAGCCUGGGGGGGUAGCUACUCUAAGGGUAACCAAAUACCACAUCCCAUCUAUGUAGAAAAGCGAGGACCCGUAAGUCCUCGGUCGAUUGGAACGACCGCGGUCAGGUUAGGUAGUUGGUGGGGUAGAGGGUGACCAAGCCAACGAUCUGUACCUGGUCUGAGAGGAGGACCGGCAACACUGGGACUGAGACACGGCCCCGACUCCUACGGGAGGCAGCAGUGGGGAAUUUUGGACAAUGGGCGCAAGCCUGAUCCAGAAAUGCCGCGUGCAGGAAGAAGGCCUUCGGGUUGUAAACUGCUUUUGUACGGAACGAAACGGCUCUGGUUAAUACCCGGGGAUAAUGACGGUACCGUAAGAAUAAGCACCGGCUAACUACGUG
rnacentral:rRNA from 1 species